UACGUAGGGGGCAAGCGUUGUCCGGAAUUAUUGGGCGUAAAGAGCUCGUAGGCGGUCUGUCGCGUCGGCUGUGAAAUCCCGAGGCUCAACCUCGGGUCUGCAGUCGAUAUGGGCAAACUGGAGUGUUGCAGGGGAGACUGGAAUUCCUGGUGUAGCGGUGAAAUGCGCAGAUAUCAGGAGGAACACCGGUGGCGAAGGCGGGUCGCUGGGACGGUACUGACGCUGAGGCGCGAAAGCGUGGGGAGCAAACAGG
rnacentral:rRNA from 1 species